rnacentral:lncRNA from 1 species
GAAAGAUCUCCCAUGCUCAUGGAUUGGCAGGAUUAAUUUAGUAAAAAUGGCCAUUUUACCAAAAGCGAUUUACAGAUUCAAUGCAAUCCCCAUCAAAAUACCAAUCCAAUUCUUCAAAGAGUUAGACAGAACAAUUUGCAAAUUCAUCUGGAAUAACAAAAAACCCAGGAUAGCUAAAGCUAUCCUCAACAAUAAAAGGACUUCAGGGGGAAUCACUAUCCCUGAACUCAAGCAGUAUUACAGAGCAAUAGUGAUAAAAACUGCAUGGUAUUGGUACAGAGACAGACAGAUAGACCAAUGGAAUAGAAUUGAAGACCCAGAAAUG